CAGUAGCCACGGUAAUACGAAGGGGGCUAGCGUUGCUCGGAAUCACUGGGCGUAAAGGGUGCGUAGGCGGGUCUUUAAGUCAGGGGUGAAAUCCUGGAGCUCAACUCCAGAACUGCCUUUGAUACUGAAGGUCUUGAGUUCGGGAGAGGUGAGUGGAACUGCGAGUGUAGAGGUGAAAUUCGUAGAUAUUCGCAAGAACACCAGUGGCGAAGGCGGCUCACUGGCCCGAUACUGACGCUGAGGCACGAAAGCGUGGGGAGCAAACAGGAUUAGAUACCCGCGUAGUCCCUGUCUCUUAUAC
rnacentral:rRNA from 1 species